GUCUAGUACUCAAGUUUGAUCCUGGCUCAGAACGAACGCUGGCGGCAGGCUUAACACGAUGCAAGUCGGGCGCCCCGCAAGGGGAGCGGCAGACGGGUGAGUAACGCGUGGGAAUCUACCCUUUUCUACGGAAUAACGCAGGGAAACUUGUGCUAAUACCGGUAUGUGUCCUUCGGGAGAAAGAUUUAUCGGGAAAGGAUGAGCCCGCGUUGGAUUAGCUAGUUGGUGGGGUAAAGGCCUACCAAGGCGACGACCCAUAGCUGGUCUGAGAGGAUGAUCAGCCACAUUGGGACUGAGACACGGCCCAA
rnacentral:rRNA from 1 species